rnacentral:rRNA from 1 species
AGCGAACGCUGGCGGCAUGCCUAACACAUGCAAGUCGAACGAGACCUUCGGGUCUAGUGGCGCACGGGUGCGUAACGCGUGGGAACCUGCCCUUAGGUUCGGAAUAACUCCCCGAAAGGGGUGCUAAUACCGGAUAAUGUCUUCGGACCAAAGAUUUAUCGCCUUUGGAUGGGCCCGCGUUGGAUUAGCUAGUUGGUAGGGUAAAAGCCUACCAAGGCGACGAUCCAUAGCUGGUCUGAGAGGAUGAUCAGCCACACUGGGACUGAGACACGGCCCAGACUCCUACGGGAGGCAGCAGUGGGGAAUAUUGGACAAUGGGCGAAAGCCUGAUCCAGCAAUGCCGCGUGGGUGAUGAAGGCCUUAGGGUUGUAAAGCUCUUUUACCCGGGAUGAUAAUGACAGUACCGGGAGAAUAAGCUCCGGCUAACUCCGUG